rnacentral:rRNA from 1 species
CAUGGCGGCUGCUACCAUGCAAGUCGAACGUGAUCCGCCCUUCGGGGUGGUGAAAGUGGCGCACGGGUGAGUAACGCGUGGAUAAUCUGCCCGAGGAUUUGGGAUAACAUCUCGAAAGGGGUGCUAAUACCGAAUAAGCCCACGGGGUCUACGGAUCUUGCGGGAAAAGGGGGGGACCUUCGGGCCUCCUGUCCUUGGAUGAGUCUGCGUACCAUUAGCUAGUUGGUGGGGUAAUGGCCUACCAAGGCGACGAUGGUUAGCUGGUCUGAGAGGAUGAUCAGCCACACUGGAACUGAGACACGGUCCAGACUCCUACGGGAGGCAGCAGUGGGGAAUUUUGCGCAAUGGGGGAAACCCUGACGCAGCAACGCCGCGUGGGUGAUGAAGGCCUUCGGGUCGUAAAGCUCUGUCUGGAGGGAAGAAAUGAUUGGGAGCUAAUACCUCUUGAUCUUGACGGUACCUCUGAAGGAAGCACCGGCUAACUCCGUGCCAGCAGCCGCGGUAAUACGGAGGGUGCAAGCGUUGUUCGGAAUUAUUGGGCGUAAAGCGCGUGUAGGCGGUCUUUUAAGUCUGAUGUGAAAGCCCCGGGCUCAACCUGGGAAGUGCAUUGGAAACUGGGAGGCUUGAGUACGGGAGAGGAGAGUGGAAUUCCUAGUGUAGGAGUGAAAUCCGUAGAUAUUAGGAGGAACACCGGUGGCGAAGGCGGCUCUCUGGACCGAUACUGACGCUGAGACGCGAAAGCGUGGGUAGCAAACAGGAUUAGAUACCCUGGUAGUCCACGCCGUAAACGAUGAGUACUAGUGUUGCGGGUAUUGACCCC